rnacentral:rRNA from 1 species
UACAGAGGUGGCAAGCGUUGUUCGGAAUUACUGGGCGUAAAGGGCGCGUAGGCGGCCAUCUAAGUCAGACGUGAAAUCCCCCGGCUUAACCUGGGAACUGCGUCUGAUACUGGAAGGCUUGAGUAUGGGAGAGGGAUGUAGAAUUCCAGGUGUAGCGGUGAAAUGCGUAGAUAUUAGGAGGAACACCAGUGGCGAAGGUGGCUUUCUGGACAGUAACUGACGCUGAGGCGCGAAAGCGUGGGGAGCAAACAGG